UGGGGAAUAUUGCACAAUGGGCGCAAGCCUGAUGCAGCCAUGCCGCGUGUGUGAAGAAGGCCUUCGGGUUGUAAAGCACUUUCAGCGAGGAGGAAGGGUUCAGUGUUAAUAGCACUGUUCAUUGACGUUACUCGCAGAAGAAGCACCGGCUAACUCCGUGCCAGCAGCCGCGGUAAUACGGAGGGUGCAAGCGUUAAUCGGAAUUACUGGGCGUAAAGCGCACGCAGGCGGUUUGUUAAGUCAGAUGUGAAAUCCCCGCGCUUAACGUGGAACUGCAUUUGAAACUGG
rnacentral:rRNA from 1 species